AGAGUUUGAUCCUGGCUCAGAAUCAACGCUGGCGGCGUGCCUAACACAUGCAAGUCGAACGAGAAAGUUGCCUUCGGAUGACGAGUAAAGUGGCAAACGGGUGAGUAACGCGUGGGACAUCUACCCUGAUGAGGGGAAUAACUCUCCGAAAGGAGAGCUAAUACCGCAUAUUCCGGUUUACCGGGAAAGGCCUUCGGGUCGCAUCAGGAGGAGCCCGCGUCCGAUUAGCUAGUUGGUGAGGUAAUGGCUCACCAAGGCGACGAUCGGUAGCCGGUCUGAGAGGACGGACGGCCACACUGGGACUGAGACACGGCCCAGACUCCUACGGGAGGCAGCAGUGGGGAAUUUUGGGCAAUGGGCGAAAGCCUGACCCAGCAACGCCGCGUGGAGGAAGAAGGUUUUCGGAUCGUAAACUCCUGUCCCAUGAGACGAAAAAAAUGACGGUAUCAUGGGAGGAAGCCCCGGCUAACUCCGUGCCAGCAGCCGCGGUAAUACGGGGGGGGCAAGCGUUGUUCGGAAUUACUGGGCGUAAAGGGCGCGUAGGCGGCUUCGGAAGUCAAGGGUGAAAGCCCCGAGCUCAACUCGGGAACUGCCUUUGAAACCACGGAGCUAGAGUGUUGGAGAGGAAAGCGGAAUUUCCAGUGUAGCGGUGAAAUGCGUAGAUGUUGGAAGGAACAUCUGAGGCGAAGGUGCUUUCUGGACACACACUGACGCUGAGGCGCGAAAGCUAGGGGAGCGAACGGGAUUAGAUACCCCGGUAGUCCUAGCCGUAAACGAUGAACACUUGGUGUGGGGGGUAUAAAGUCCCUCCGUGCCGUAGAUAACUCGAUAAGUGUUCCGCCUGGGGAGUACGGCCGCAAGGCUGAAACUCAAAGGAAUUGACGGGGGCCCGCACAAGCGGUGGAGCAUGUGGUUUAAUUCGACGCAACGCGAAGAACCUUACCGGGGUUUGAACUGUACCUGCGACAUCCAGAGAUGGAUGGUUUCCUUAGGGAACUGGUAUAGAGGUGCUGCAUGGCUGUCGUCAGCUCGUGUCGUGAGAUGUUGGGUUAAGUCCCGCAACGAGCGCAACCCUUGUCUGUAGUUGCCAUCAGGUUAAGCUGGGCACUCUACGGAGACUGUCGGCGAUAAGCCGGAGGAAGGUGGGGAUGACGUCAAGUCCUCAUGGCCUUUAUGUCCCGGGCUACACACGUGCUACAAUGGAUGGAACAGAGGGCUGCAAGCCUGCGAAGGCAAGCGAAUCCCAAAAAUCCAUUCUCAGUUCGGAUUGCAGUCUGCAACUCGACUGCAUGAGGUUGGAAUCGCUAGUAAUCGCGGAUCAGAACGCCGCGGUGAAUACGUUCCCGGGCCUUGUACACACCGCCCGUCACACCACGAAAGUGGGCUGUACUAGAAGCCGCUGGCCCAACCUCUUCGGAGGAGGGAGGCGUCGACGGUAUGGUUCAUGAUUGGGGUGAAGUCGUAACAAGGUA
rnacentral:rRNA from 1 species